UUUUGGUGUCAAAGUUUAUAUUCCAUCUCCAGCCAAUACACCAAAUUCUACACCAAAACAAUAUUUUUAUUAUUUAAUAUUACAAACUUUUUAAUUUUGAUAAUUUAGUUCAUUAAGUAUUGGGAGAAUUUUAUGUUUACCACUUUCAAGGUACCACUUUUCAUCUUUACCACCACUUAAAGGACAUUUUCAAAAAUAUUUUGUUCAUUAAGUGGCAAAAGACUCUUAUGCCCUUGUUAUCUAUAUAUAUAUAAUAAAUCAUUAUUUAAAUAAAUAAAUAAAUAAAAUAAAAUACUUUUUCAAAUUCAAACUUUUUUUAUAAAUUUUUUUUUUUGAAAUUUUUUUUUAUUUUUUUUCAAAAUUUCUUUUUGAAAAUUGAAAAUUAUGUUUGAAACUAUUUUUCAUUUUUUUUUUAUAUUUUUAAGUAUUUAUUUAUAUAUUUAUUAGAAUAUUAAAUUUCACAUUCCAAAAACCCUACCACACCCCUC
rnacentral:lncRNA from 1 species